CUCAGGACGAACGCUGGCGGCGUGCUUAACACAUGCAAGUCGAGCGGUAAGGCCCUUCGGGGUACACGAGCGGCGAACGGGUGAGUAACACGUGAGCAACCUGCCCCUGACUCUGGGAUAAGCGGUGGAAACGCCGUCUAAUACCGGAUACGACCCGCCACCUCAUGGUGGAGGGUGGAAAGUUUUUCGGUCAGGGAUGGGCUCGCGGCCUAUCAGCUUGUUGGUGGGGUAACGGCCUACCAAGGCGAUUACGGGUAGCCGGCCUGAGAGGGCGACCGGCCACACUGGGACUGAGACACGGCCCAGACUCCUGCGGGAGGCAGCAGUGGGGAAUAUUGCGCAAUGGGCGAAAGCCUGACGCAGCGACGCCGCGUGGGGGAUGACGGCCUUCGGGUUGUAAACCUCUUUUACCACCAACGCAGGCUCGAAGUUCUCUUCGGGUUGACGGUAGGUGGGGAAUAAGGACCGGCUAACUACGUGCCAGCAGCCGCGGUAAUACGUAGGGUCCGAGCGUUGUCCGGAAUUAUUGGGCGUAAAGAGCUCGUAGGCGGCGUGUCGCGUCUGCUGUGAAAGACCGGGGCUUAACUCCGGUUCUGCAGUGGAUACGGGCAUGCUAGAGGUAGGUAGGGGAGACUGGAAUUCCUGGUGUAGCGGUGAAAUGCGCAGAUAUCAGGAGGAACACCGGUGGCGAAGGCGGGUCUCUGGGCCUUACCUGACGCUGAGGAGCGAAAGCAUGGGGAGCGAACAGGAUUAGAUACCCUGGUAGUCCAUGCCGGAAACGUUGGGCGCUAGGUGUGGGGACUUUCCACGGUUUCCGCGCCGUUAGCUAACGCAUUAAGCGCCCCGCCUGGGAAGUACGGCCGCAAGGCUAAAACUCAAAGGAAUUGACGGGGGCCCGCACAAGCGGCGGAGCAUGUUGCUUAAUUCGACGCAACGCGAAGAACCUUACCAAGGUUUGACAUCACCCGUGGACUCGCAGAGAUGUGAGGUCAUUUAGUUGGCGGGUGACAGGUGGUGCAUGGCUGUCGUCAGCUCGUGUCGUGAGAUGUUGGGUUAAGUCCCGCAACGAGCGCAACCCUUGUUCCAUGUUGCCAGCACGUAAUGGUGGGGACUCAUGGGAGACUGCCGGGGUCAACUCGGAGGAAGGUGGGGAUGACGUCAAGUCAUCAUGCCCCUUAUGUCUUGGGCUGCAAACAUGCUACAAUGGCCGGUACAAUGGGCGUGCGAUACCGUAAGGUGGAGCGAAUCCCUAAAAGCCGGUCUCAGUUCGGAUUGGGGUCUGCAACUCGACCCCAUGAAGGUGGAGUCGCUAGUAACGCCAGAUCAGA
rnacentral:rRNA from 1 species